ACUGAUACAGUGAUGCACCAUAUCGCACUUGACUCAUUGGCCGGUUUUACACAUCGUAGAUUGAGCGUAGACGUCAAUUAAGAAAAUUGGUGGACAUACAUGAGGACUGACGCUAAAGGUUUGGAUGAGAUUUACAAGCUGACCGAGGCUUGAAGGCUGAAAGUAGAGGUGCAAAAGACAUUCUUAAUUACGCAAGUUCAAGAGGCACACAUUGAAAAAAAACAGAAGGAUAAUUCCUGAUGGUAAAAGAUUAGUGUUAAGGACAAGUGAUUGUUAAGAGCCGGUUCAGAUUCAAAUCAAAGUGAAUUUUAGAAGUUAUAAAGAUGGUAAUUUUGACGUUUUGAGGUCAAACAGAGACAUUCAACUCCUUUAUUAUACUAAGGUCAUGAAAUAUCAAUAAAAUCUUUUUGAUCACAAUAAACUUACAAACAUAAUACA